rnacentral:rRNA from 1 species
CCCGAGACGGGGCGAACCACGGUGAAAUGACGGAUCGUCGGCCCCGCGCCGGCGACUCGCCGAAUGAGUUUCUGACCUAUCAACUCGAGACGGCGGGGUAGAGGCCCGCCGCGGUAACGACGGGUAACGGGGAAUCAGGGUUCGAUUCCGGAGAGGGAGCCCGAGAAACGGCUACCACUUCCAAGGAAGGCAGCAGGCGCGCAACUUACCCUAAUCUCGAUUCGAGGAGGUAGUGACAAGAAAUACCGAUGCGGGACCCUACGGGUGCCGCGUUCGGAAUGAGUACGAUUCGAACCACCUAACGAGGAACGAUCGGAGGGCAAGUCUGGUGCCAGCAGCCGCGGUAAUUCCAGCUCCAAUAGCGUACGUUAAAGUUGCUGCAGUUAAAAAGCUCGUAGUUGAACGUU